rnacentral:rRNA from 1 species
GUGGGGAAUAUUGGGCAAUGGGCGAAAGCCUGACCCAGCAACGCCGCGUGAAGGAAGAAGGUUUUCGGAUCGUAAACUUCUAUCCUUGGUGAAGAUAAUGACGGUAGCCAAGAAGGAAGCCCCGGCUAACUACGUGCCAGCAGCCGCGGUAAUACGUAGGGGGCAAGCGUUGUCCGGAAUGAUUGGGCGUAAAGGGCGCGUAGGCGGCCCGGUAAGUCUGAAGUGAAAGUCCUGCUUUUAAGGUGGGAAUUGCUUUGGAUACUGUCGGGCUUGAGUGCAGGAGAGGUAAGCGGAAUUCCCGGUGUAGCGGUGAAAUGCGUAGAGAUCGGGAGGAACACCAGUGGCGAAGGCGGCUUACUGGACUGUAACUGACGCUGAGGCGCGAAAGUGUGGGGAGCAAACAGGAUUAGAUAUCCCGGUAGUCC